UACAGAGGUCUCAAGCGUUUGUUCGGAUUCAUUGGGCGUAAAGGGUGCGUAGGCGGCGCGGUAAGUCGGGGUGUGAAAUCUCGGAGCUUAACUCCGAAACUGCAUUCGAUACUGCCGUGCUUGAGGACUGGAGAGGAGACUGGAAAUUUACGGUGUAGCGGUGAAAUUGCGUAGAUAUCGUAAGGAAGACCAGUGGCGAAGGCGGGUCUCUGGACAU
rnacentral:rRNA from 1 species